AUUUUAUGAGACGAUGCAGUGUUGCAUUUGGUGGAGGAAGGUUCUUAUUAGCAAGCUUCAUAUAUGCUGUCUUUGAAUCCCUCCUACCUAGCGGAAGUUCCCAAUAUGGGCCACCACUCUGUCAUGAGAUGCCAUGGUCAGAUAUUUACCAAUACUGUUGAACCUCUGGCAGCUAGGGCAACAGUGUCAGCACAGGAGACUGUGUGUGGACAUGCUUCUUCAAGUGCAGCUUUGAUCUCAUCUAUGACUUCAAAUCCCCUGAGAGAAUUCUUGUUGGGAAUAGCGUUUUUCUCGCUUGCGUCUGCCUUGCUGUCAUCCAGCAGAACUGAUGCAUCGCACCCCUGCAAUUUGAGCGAAACCAGUUCUGAUAUAUAGCACUAACGCAUAAGUAGGCGAUCUAGAUUAUGAGUGGUGAGCCUGAAAUCAUGGUGUUCCAGUUCUUAAGAACAUGCAGUAUUUUCGACUGGUGGUGAACUAUGUGGCUAUAGGAACUUUGUUUACUUCAUGCCCAAAAACAUAUGCAAUGUGCAUACCUGAACAAAGCAGUCAUGAAAAAGGAGCCUGAGAAGGGAGGCAGCUAUCCGCUGUUCCUUGGCGAUCGCCUUCUUCAAGACGGAGACCACAAUCUCAUCAGCUUGUGGGCAUGUGGAUAUAUAGAAAUCUGGAGAAAGACCUAGCUUUGGCUUUGGACUGUGUCCAACUGGAUGAGCGCCCUCAUGGUGAGCAGGGAAUGCAAUAGAGGCUGGGAAGUAGAAAGAGGCAAUGAAGAUUGCACCAAGCAAUGCCUUGGAUGAAGCCAUGAGAGCUGUGAUUAAGAUCUUGCAUUUUGCUUCCAAUUUAUAGAACUAUGUGAUUCAGCUGCACCAUUAGAGUUCCAUCCACUCCACUUGUGGUAAGAACCAAAGCUAGAACCAUGUAUGUGCUUCAGGUGCACCUGAUCUUGAUGCAGCUCUUGUCAAUUUGUUUGAGGACUCAGUGUUUAUUUUUUUCAAUUGAAGACCAAUGGGGAAUUGCAUAGUAUGGAUAUGCCAUGUGUGCAUGGCGUUGUUACAUAAUUGAAGUUCCCAAGUUUGUACUACCUUUAAAA